AGGGUAGGGUGAGCCGAAGGAGAGAGAAUUUCACAGUUAGCGAGAAGAAAGGAAGACUGAUUUUAGAGAAGCUACGAGCUCUGCAAAAGGAUAAGAAAGCAAGAAUUAAAAGGUGCAAAAGAAAUCUGAGAAAAUUGAAGUGAAUGAAAGAUAACGGGAGGUUAAAGAAGUUAACUAUAAUUUAAUGUUGUUAUCGAAGGGAAAACCAUUUAUAACGAGGAAAAUUGAUCGAUUGCACACGUUUAACGGGAAUUCGAGCAUGGAGAAACAAGUGGUCCGAUCAUCUGGAAAUUCAGUCGGCGAGAAAAUGGCAAAGUGCAUUGGCGUCACUAAAGCAAAAGAGAAUGAUGGCUUCGAAGACGGAAGGCCAGAUAAAAAUUGUUAUCUAUUCUGUUCGACGACGUGUAUGUGCUUACAUCGGCUUUCGUGUGAUAACCACGCGGCCGUUCAUCUAUUUACAUAAGUAUACCAACGAAUGGUAUAUAACAGGGACGAAAGAAACUGAAGGUGGAAUGAAGAGAAAUGUAUAAUAAAUUAUAUUCGAAUACCUGGAAAAUAAAGUAAAAUAAUUUUGCUUGAUGGUCUCCUUGUA